rnacentral:rRNA from 1 species
GAUGAACGCUAGCGGCAGGCCUAACACAUGCAAGUCGAGGGGUAGAGUUCUUCGGGACUUGAGACCGGCGCACGGGUGCGUAACGCGUAUGCAAUCUACCUUAUACAGGGGAAUAGCCCAGAGAAAUUUGGAUUAAUGCCCCAUAGUGUUAUCGAAUCGCAUGGUUUGAUAACUAAAGUUCCAACGGUAUAAGAUGAGCAUGCGUCCCAUUAGUUAGUUGGUAAGGUAACGGCUUACCAAGACAAUGAUGGGUAGGGGUCCGUGAGAGGGAGAUCCCCCACACUGGUACUGAGACACGGACCAGACUCCUACGGGAGGCGAGCAGUGAGGAAUAUUGGUC